rnacentral:rRNA from 1 species
GACGAACGCUGGCGGCGUGCUUAACACAUGCAAGUCGAACGGAAAGGCCCUGCUUUUGUGGGGUGCUCGAGUGGCGAACGGGUGAGUAACACGUGAGUAACCUGCCCUUGACUUUGGGAUAACUUCAGGAAACUGGGGCUAAUACCGGAUAGGAGCUCCUGCUGCAUGGUGGGGGUUGGAAAGUUUCGGCGGUUGGGUAUGGACUCGCGGCUUAUCAGCUUGUUGGGGGGGUAGUGGCUUACCAAGGCUUUGACGGGUAGCCGGCCUGGGAGGGUGACCGGCCACAUUGGGACUGAGCUACGGCCCAGACUCCUACGGGAGGCAGCAGUGGGGAAUAUUGCACAAUGGGCGGAAGCCUGAUGCAGCAACGCCGCGUGCGGGAUGACGGCCUUCGGGUUGUAAACCGCUUUCGCCUGUGACGAAGAGUGAGUGACGGUAAUGGGUAAAGAAGCACCGGCUAACUACGUG